UGCAAGGUUUGGUCCUAGCCUCAGUAUUAAUUGUAACCAAAAUUACACAUGCAAGUUUCAACAUUCCCGUGAGAAUGCCCUGAUCAAUCUAUCAAUUGAUUAGGAGCGGGUAUCAGGCACACACACGUAGCCCAAGACACCUUGCUUAGCCACACCCCCAAGGGAUUUCAGCAGUGAUAAACAUUGACACAUAAGCGCAAGCCUGAAUCAGUUAAGGUUGAUAGAGUUGGUAAAUCUCGUGCCAGCCACCGCGGUUAUACGAGUAACUCAUAUUAAUACUUUACGGCGUAAAGAGUGGUUUAAGAACAUCUCAUAUUAACUAAAGCUAAGACCUCAUCCAGCUGUUACACGCAUUCAUGGGCGGAAUCACCAACAACGAAAGUGACUUUAUUAAACCAGAAAUCUUGACCCCACGACAGUUAAGCCCCAAACUAGGAUUAGAUACCCUACUAUGCUUAACUACAAACUUAGACAAUAACACACCCUAUUGUCCGCCAGAGUACUACAAGCGCUAGCUUAAAACCCAAAGGACUUGGCGGUAUCCCAAACCCACCUAGAGGAGCCUGUUCUAUAACCGAUAAUCCCCGUUAAACCUCACCACUCCUAGCCAUUCCCGCCUAUAUACCGCCGUCGUCAGCUCACCCUGUGAAGGUGACAAAAGUAAGCAAAAAGAACCUACCUUCCACACGUCAGGUCGAGGUGUAGCGAAUGAAGUGGAAAGAAAUGGGCUACAUUUUCUACCAAGAAAACACGGACAGUAAACUGAAAAACUACUUUAAGGUGGAUUUAGCAGUAAAAGAAGACUAGAGUACUUCCUUGAAACCGGCUCUGGGACGCGCACACACCGCCCGUCACUCUCCUCAAUAAACCAUAUCCUUUAUUUAAAAAAACUACUUCAACAAGAGGAGGCAAGUCGUAACAUGGUAAGUGUACUGGAAAGUGCACUUGGAAU
rnacentral:ncRNA from 1 species